rnacentral:tRNA from 1 species
GGGUAUAUAGCUCAGUGGUAGAGAGCAUGCUUCUCAUGUUCAAGGUCCUAGGUUAAAUCCCCAGUACCUCCA